CCUACGGGUGGCAGCAGUGAGGAAUAUUGGUCAAUGGACGAGAGUCUGAACCAGCCAAGCAGCGUGAAGGAUGACUGCGCCAUGCGUUGUAAACUUCUUUUAUCAAGGGAUAAAACGAGGCACGUGUGCCUGAUUGAAGGUACUUGAUGAAUAAGGAUCGGCUAACUCCGUGCCAGCAGCCGCGGUAAUACGGAGGAUGCGAGCGUUAUCCGGAUUUAUUGGGUUUAAAGGGAGCGUAGAUGGGUUGUUAAGUCAGUUGUGAAAGUUUGGGGCUCAACCGUAAAAUAGCAAUUGAUACUGGCAGUCUUGAGUACAGUUGAGGUAGGCGGAAUGCGUGGUGUAGCGGUGAAAUGCUUAGAUAUCACGAAGAACCCCGAUUGCGAAGGCAGCAUAC
rnacentral:rRNA from 1 species